rnacentral:tRNA from 1 species
CCUGCUAUGCCAGAUAAAUGGGUUACUUUGAUGUGGUAAUUAUGGUGUUUGUUUCCUGGUGGGU